UACGUAGGGGGCGAGCGUUGUCCGGAAUCACUGGGCGUAAAGAGCGUGUAGGCGGCCUGGUAGGUCUGCUGUGAAAACUCGAGGCUCAACCUCGAGAUGUCGGCGGAAACCAUCUGGCUAGAGUCCGGAAGAGGAGAGUGGAAUUCCUGGUGUAGCGGUGAAAUGCGCAGAUAUCAGGAAGAACACCUAUGGCGAAGGCAGCUCUCUGGGACGGUACUGACGCUGAGACGCGAAAGCGUGGGGAGCGAACAGG
rnacentral:rRNA from 1 species